AUGCUUCACAGUGCCCAGACAGACUUGCCCAAGGCUACCUUUCUCAGGAUGUAUCCUGUCCUUAAGCGGCAAAGGACUGUAUUUUCCUCUUUUCUAUCUUUUAGGUUAGGGACCCUAAGCAUAGGCUGGGUGGGUCAGUUUCCUGUUGAUGACAUUUCUCCCUUCCUCUCCAGUCCCUCUUUUCCUCUUUAUGUUGACCCUCCUGAUGUUCCCUUUCACCAGAGGAGUCUCCUCGGAUACCAGGAGGUUCCCGUGGAUGAGCGCACCUAUUCAAGUCACCUUAGUUGGUUUUUGGUAAGUGGAAAUUACCUUUUUUAAAAAAUAAGUACUGUAUUUUAAUUGUACAAAGAUAUACUCA
rnacentral:lncRNA from 1 species